AUCAGGAUCAACGUUUCAGUCUUCUCCAAGGACUUUCCUCAUGAUCCUGAUGAAAGUCCUUGGAGAGGACUGAAACGUUGAUCCUGAUUUUAAAA